rnacentral:rRNA from 1 species
UACGGAGGGUGCGAGCGUUAAUCGGAAUUACUGGGCGUAAAGGGUACGUAGGCGGCUUGAUAAGUCAGAUGUGAAAUCCCCGGGCUUAACCUGGGAACUGCAUUUGAAACUGUCUGGCUAGAGUGAGUGAGAGGUUAGUGGAAUUCAAGGCGUAGCGGUGAAAUGCGUAGAGGUCUUGAGGAACAUCAGUGGCGAAGGCGACUAACUGGCACUACACUGACGCUGAGGUACGAAAGCGUGGGGAGCGAACAGGAUUAGAUACCCGGGUAGUCC